rnacentral:misc_RNA from 1 species
UUUCCGUAGGUGAACCUGCGGAAGGAUCAUUAAAAAAUGUGGUACCGAUUGUUGGUACUAAUUAAUCAUCCUACCCUUUGUGAAUUUGUUUGUAUGAAUUUUUUUAAAUGGGUCUUUCCCUAAGUUGGAUUGUAGUAAAAUACAAAAAGACUUAGGGAAUGACUUUUUUAAAAGACUUUUUUUUAAAUUAAACCUUUUUGUAUUCAUUUGUCUAAAAUUUAUUUUUAUAAUAUAAAAACAACUUUUGACAAUGGAUCUCUUGGCUCUCGCAACGAUGAAGAACGCAGCAAAAUGCGAUAAGUAGUGUGAAUUGCAGAAUACGUGAAUCAUCGAAUCUUCGAACGCAUAUUGCACUUUUUUAGUUUACUAAAAAAGUAUGUCUGUUUGAGUAUCAGUAAAAUAUUCUCACAAAAACAAUUUGUUUUUUGUGGUUAUGAGUGUUUUACAACGAUAAACAAGUUGUUUCACUUUAAAUUCUUUUUAAUUGAAUUUUACCAAUUCAUAAAUUAAAAUUGGAUAAAAUUUUCCUUUAACGAGGAAUAACCUAAACAAUUUUAAAUUUUAUGGAUUAAUAAACAUUCAUCAAAGGAAUCUAUACAACAAAUAACUUGAUCUCAAAUCAGAUAAGAGUACCGCUGAACUUAAGCAUAUCAAUAAGCGGAGGAAAAGAAACUAACAAGGAUUCCCUUAGUAACGGCGAGUGAAGCGGGAAGAGCUCAAAUUUGAAAUCUUCAAGGUUUGACCUUGACGAAUUGUAGUUUAUAGAAGUGUUUUCUGUUGGAGUUUUGGUAAAAGUUCUUUGGAAUAGGACAUCAUAGAGGGUGAGAAUCCCGUAUUUGACCAUGACUUUCCAGCUGUGUGAUACACUUUCAAAGAGUCGGAUUGUUUGGGAAUGCAGUCCAAAAUGGGUGGUAAAUUUCAUCUAAAGCUAAAUAUUGGCGAGAGACCGAUAGCGAACAAGUACCGUGAGGGAAAGAUGAAAAGAACUUUGAAAAGAGAGUUAAACAGUACGUGAAAUUGUCAAAAGGGAAGCGUUUGACACCAGUGUUGUUUUCUCGAAAAUCAAUUUAAUGAGUUCUUGUUUUUAAGUUAUUGUGACUUUAUCAGCGCAUUUCUUAUUUUACUUGACUCAUUGAAUGCACUUUUCGUUUAACAAGUCAACAUCAAUUUCUUUGGUGGUAAAAAGUUUAAAGGAAGGUGGCUUGGACUUCGGUUCAAGUGUUUAUAGCCUUUUUUCUAUGCCAUCGGAGAGAUUGAGGUCUGCAGCGUAGAUCCUUCGGGUUAGAUACCUUUGUGCUAAGUUAUAGUUUUUUAUAGACAACUUGUUGACUAUAAUUAACCCUGUAAUUUACUCGCUUAGGCUAUUUUACCUACGCUUAGGAUGUUG